rnacentral:rRNA from 1 species
AUUGAACGCUGGCGGCAGGCCUAACACAUGCAAGUCGAGCGAGCGGCGGACGGGUGAGUAAUGUAUGGGGACUGCCCGAUAGAGGGGGAUAACUACUGGAAACGGUAGCUAAUACCGCAUACUAUCGGAUAACCCAUAUGGGAUUAGCUAGUAGGUGAGGUAAUGGCUCACCUAGGCGACGAUCCCGAGCUGGUCUGAGAGGAUGAUCAGCCACACUGGGACUGGGACACGGCCCAGGCUCCGGCGGAGGCAGCAUGUGGGAAGAUUGGACAAUGGGCGCAAGCAUGGUGCAGCCAUGCCGCGUGUGUUAAGAAGGCCCUGGGGGGGUAAAGUACUUUCUGUCGGGAGGCGUUACCGACAGAAGAAGCACCGGCGAACUCCGUGCCAGCAGCCGCGGUAAUUC